rnacentral:ncRNA from 1 species
UUCAUCAAGAGUUGGCUGAGGGACUGGCCCAAUGAAGCUGCGGCAACCAUCGUAUUUUGCAAAUUUGUAUAAUACGAACGGUGCCAAUUCCUACAGGAUGAUAUCCUGGCAGAUGAA